rnacentral:rRNA from 1 species
GACGAACGCUGGCGGCGUGCUUAACACAUGCAAGUCGAACGGAAAGGCCCUGAGUUUGUGGGGUGCUCGAGUGGCGAACGCGUGAGUGACACGUGAGUAACCUGCCCUUGACUUUGGGAUAACUUCAGGAAACUGGGGCUAAUAUAGGAUAGGAGCUCCUGCUGCGUGGUGGGGGUUGGAAAGUUUCGGCUGUUGGGGAUGGACUGGCGGCUUAUCAGCUAGUUGGUGGGGUAGUUGAAUACCAAGGCUUUGACGGGUAGCCGGCCUGGGAGGGGGGACGGCGUCAAGAGGCCUAAGGGAGGGAGCAGACUCCAAUCGGAGGCAGUAGUGGGGAGUCUUGCACAAUGGGCCGAAGCGUGAGACAGCAACGCCGGGUGCGGAAAGACCGCUUGUGGGGUGUAAACCGCUGUCGCCUGAGACGAAGCGGUAGUGACGGUAACGGGUAAAGAAGCACCGGCUAACUACGUG